rnacentral:rRNA from 1 species
AACAAACGCUGGCGGCGUGCCUAAUACAUGCAAGUCGAACGGGGAAAGCUUUCGGGUGAGUACUAGUGGCGCACGGGUGAGUAACGCGUGGAUAAUCUGCCUUAGAGUGGGGGAUAACUAGUCGAAAGAUUAGCUAAUACCGCAUAAGACCACAAGAACUGCGGUUCAAGGGGUCAAAGGUUUUUCGCUCUAAGAUGAGUCCGCGUAAGAUUAGCUAGUUGGUGAGGUAAUGGCUCACCAAGGCGACGAUCUUUAACUGGUCUGAGAGGAUGAUCAGUCACACUGGAACUGAGACACGGUCCAGACUCCUACGGGAGGCAGCAGUAGGGAAUAUUGCACAAUGGAGGAAACUCUGAUGCAGCGACGCCGCGUGAGUGAUGAAGGCCUUCGGGUCGUAAAGCUCUGUCGCAAGGGAAUAACACAAUGAAUGUACCUUGCAAGAAAGGAUCGGCUAACUUCGUGCCAGCAGCCGCCGUAAAAC